GGCGAUCGUGGUGAAGUGGUUAACACACCAGAUUGUGGCUCUGGCAUUCGUGGGUUCGAUUCCCAUCGGUCGCCCUUU
rnacentral:tRNA from 1 species